rnacentral:rRNA from 1 species
AGAGUUUGAUCCUGGCUCAGGACGAACGCUGGCGGCGUGCUUAACACAUGCAAGUCGAACGGAAAGGCCCUGCUUUUGUGGGGUGCUCGAGUGGCGAACGGGUGAGUAACACGUGAGUAACCUGCCCUUGACUUUGGGAUAACUUCAGGAAACUGGGGCUAAUACCGGAUAGGAGCUCCUGCUGCAUGGUGGGGGUUGGAAAGUUUCGGCGGUUGGGGAUGGACUCGCGGCUUAUCAGCUUGUUGGUGGGGUAGUGGCUUACCAAGGCUUUGACGGGUAGCCGGCCUGAGAGGGUGACCGGCCACAUUGGGACUGAGAUACGGCCCAGACUCCUACGGGAGGCAGCAGUGGGGAAUAUUGCACAAUGGGCGGAAGCCUGAUGCAGCAACGCCGCGUGCGGGAUGGCGGCCUUCGGGUUGUAAACCGCUUUCGCCUGUGACGAAGCGUGAGUGACGGUAAUGGGUAAAGAAGCACCGGCUAACUACGUG